GGGCUUGCCUGCGACCACUCAGAGGAUCAGACAGGAUCAAAUGGCUUCAUUUUUCUAGUCCCUAGGGUUUUGUAAUGUGACAGAAGGACUGUUUCCUCAAUCCUGUUUGUGGGAAGCAGUAAGGGGUUCUGUAAACUGAGGAAGUACCGAGCUAACACAGAGGCUGGGGAGAAAUGGGUAUGACUGAGCUGGCAAGUCACGUGGACGUGGUGAGUCGCUAGUUCUUUCACCCUUCCUCCCUCACUGCAUCCAGGAGCCUUCCUUGCAUCCUUUAGUCCUGAGCAACUGUCACCCUCAACUGCCAAGAGUCAAUAAACCAGAGGAGCAUUGUGGGUAGGAGACAUCGUAUAAGGCUUCGGUAAGCACUCACCCGUAGAGAGGUGGGAUGCGUCCUCCUCACCCCCAAAUUACUCCCCCAGGGGGACCCCCCAUGUUCCCUUAAUGCCCUGGUGUGGAAGGGAGGUGGUACCGUGUCAAAAGGUUGCUCCCUCUUUCCGGCCACGGCAGAUGCCUCCCCCAUAAAGGAGACCUGCGGGGACCUGCGGGAGCCUACGGCAGAAGCACAAAGUCAAAAGCAAGGUGGUUCACUGCCCUUUAGCUCUUUGAGCUGCAAGUCUCACCCCAAGGCAGGGAGACCAGCACUGCGGCCUGGGCCAGGAGGGGAGCGGCCUGGAGGCCUCAAAGCAGCCACGGCAGAGCUCAGCAGCAUGUGCCUGCGAAGAGAUCUCAGCUUCCUCGUUUGGGACAUGUGGACACCAGCUGCACCCACUUCACAAGAUCGGCAUGAAGACAAAAUGAAGAAACCCACGCCAGUGUGGACCACAGCACCCAUUGUGCAGCGAGGUCUUGACCACAUUUCCUACGAUCUCAUUUUACUUUCGGGGAGGGACCUGCUUCCCCUCUCAAGGAGUCCUCUGAGCCCUGAGAAGAGCUGUCAUCUGUCAUCGCUACAGACUUGACCACAAACACCAGCGCAGUAAAGCUGGUAUUGCUUCUGGAAUAAGGAAAAGUCCAAUUUCUACCACAGCUGGGUUGUCGGGCAAAAGGACCCUCUUUCCUAACAUAAAACCACUCUUGCCAAGGGGAGCGGGUGAAUGAGAAGGCAGCCACGCCUCCGGCCUCUAAGGAGCCCAGAAGAGGAGGAAGGUGUGCCUGCUCUUCCCUUCCUCAUGGGUUCCUUAACUCCUUCCUCCCAGAAAAGGUCCAAGAAACAGCCGACAUACCAGUACCACAUGGUGCCAAGGGCUGGGGGAAGCUCUCGUUGCCAGCCUCACACUCCACUCGGCGCCGCCCGUACCAGUGGGUUCCCGUAACCAUGGAGACCAACAAGUUCCUCCAUAUCACAGGAGAGUCAGCCUGCCAGCAGCCCGGGGCUCUGGGGGAGGCAGGAGACAGCCUGCAGCAGAAGGGUUUGGCUCACUUUACAGAGGAUUGAUGGAGACCAACCAGUGCGGCUGAGGUGUCCGGGCCUCCCUCUUCCUUCCUGUCCUUUGCCUAGUAGUUUCUGUUUCUGUGUGGCACGCUGUCCGGCUGGACGCGGCACGGUGGGAAGGGGAGUCACUCUGGAGUCACAGGUCCGCGGUGGGACCCCAGCCCCACCACUCUGGCUGCCGGCUGGGAACGGUUCGAACCGUGGCGUGUAAGCGCCACCCAGGCGCACGCACACCAAGGGCAAGGCUCCAGCUAUCACGUAACGUCUUCUUUUGAAGGGAUCCAGGGCAGUACACGCUCUCAUCCCUAGGUUAGCCCAAAUCCUUUUGUUCAAAGAAUCAGCCCAACACCUUCGCAGCAGAGAGUGAUCUCUCCCUUCUCUGGCUCUCACAGCGCCCUGUCGGUACCCAUUCAUCUCUUGUGACCGUGCGUCUCCACGCCUGAACCUCCCGGAGCUCUGAGGGGUCAGAGACGGCGUCUCGCUCGCUUUCGUACGCCCUCGGUGCCUAAGGGUGCCUGUGCCCGGCUGGCCCACGUUGAAAUAGUUGAGGAAUAAAAACGGUGCCAGUUUUUGAUCCUUACAGCCACCCUCUUGGAAGCCAAGACAAAGGCAGAAGGAAGAUCAGAACCUCUUGCCAAAGACCCUUUUCUCCUCUUUCAAGGCAGCUGCUGCCCUUUGAAGUUGCUGGCUACCGUCUGGCCUUCCCACCAGACAACGCUCUGAAGGGAGGGCCCUGGUGUGUUCACGGCCCACAACAAUGCCUCUAGCACAGAGCAGGAGUAUUCGAUAGGUACUGAAUGAAUACGUGCGUAUGAAUGAAUAAAGGAGGAGAUGUGUGGGGGCAUCUUCAUGACGGUCCCUGGGACCCACACCAGUAACUCCCAUCUGUGUCCUCUGCAGACAACACCCAAGCGGGCAGGAAGCCACGAGACCCCCUCUCCCAAGAACGGAGGACAUCUAUGGAGUGUUCUUUCCAUUCACAGGCUUUCUCAGGCGGUGACGAGGCCCUCGGUGCUCCUUCCUCACCCAAAGCUGGAGGUAAAGGUGGUCACCAAGGUGAACUGGAGGCAGACUCGGAAUACGGGCACAGCCAGGGAUGGGACGGCCGACGCCCACACGCUCCCAUCCCCGACCCCCUCAAACCAGCCCGAGCCUUCCUUUCACCACAGACGGGGAGCCCUCUCCUCCAAACUUCCUGAUGCCCAACAACCACUGGGCCCUCCCGCUUAAGACCCAACUCUCUACCUCUUCACAUUCAAUCCCACCACCGCUUGGCCAUCAAAACCACUGUGUCUUGCUGGGGCGGUGCGAUGCGGCUCGAGCCAUUCUAAGAGCUACCGAUUUGGGGAGGUGACCGUGACUCGUAGGGGACACUUACUGUGUGCCACACUCAGACAGCUCUGCUUUAAUAUUUCCUCCUUGGACCAACGUCAUGACUGUAGGGCCCUGUCAACCCCAGAAUGCCAAAACGAUUCACCCAUACACACCUGCCUCCUGUCCUGCUGCACAAAUCGGCAUUCCCCCCUGCCCCCCCCACCCCUCCCCAAGCUGCCUCCUGUUACAGAAAAGCAAAGGAACUAAAAACGGCAGCUGGGGAGCUCAGUUGACUCACCCGGCAUAAUCAUCUCCUCCCAGAAUCUCCCAUCUUCUCCUGGGGUUUUUGCCAACACAAAGUAAAAAAGAAGCACGAGAUCUUAAAAAAGAAAAACAAAACAAAAACAACAACAACAACAAGAAAAAAACCUCUCUCAGCAUUUAUGCAACAGCCUUUCUACCUGGGUGCAGAUUUAACCCCUUGUCUCUGUCGUUUCCAACAUGGUUUUCUUAUAACUUUUUUUUUUUUUUUUUUUUUUUUUUUUUUUGCUGAGGAGCAGAUCCAGCCCCAGGCUGGGAAACAGGCCUUCUGGGUCCUGUCCAGUUCCAGCUCCACACUGGAAGGUGCUGAAUAAGACAUGUGCCUCCUUCCACUGCAGCUUCCCCUGGAAGUGGAAAAAAGACUGCCUUCCUACUCCUCCGGUUUCAAAGAGGGUGUUGGAGGAGGAGGAGGAGGAGGAGGAGGAGGAGGAGGAAGUAUCAGAAAAAACACCGGGCUGACGCUUGCUGCCCCAGAAGUCACCACGGCCAGGGGUCAGAGCUCACGCAGGAGAAGAAGUAAGAGAAAGCACCUAAGGCUGUCACCGCCUCGCAACCGUUCCCACCUGGCCGGGCUGCCGUGUGGCUGUUCCACUUACAGGACCAUCAAAAAUCCAACCGGCCGCUCUCUGCACGAGCAAACCAAACCCCCGCCGGGCUGCGCCCGCUCACAGGCCGAGGCGUCAUCUUCCUCCUCCAGCAGAUCGUCAGGAACGCAAGCGGGUGAGGGCCGCCGAGCUGUUUCCGGCGCCUCCUGACAAGGAGUCCGAUCAGCUAAAAUUAAGAAUUUGGACUCACUCGUCCCUUAGAGCAAUCACGGGAGCGAGUGUGGCUCUCAGACCACCUUUCUGGGUGGGAAGUGGCGUCUGUGUUUUUGUCUUUGUCACUUGAUAUCCAGAAGGACAACUUACUUUUUCUAA